GAAGCUUACCAGAGUGCCAUCGAGUUCCUUCCCCUAAGGAUCAGACUUCCAGACUCAAAAUACAGCCUCUGCUUUUGAAUAGAUUUCCUUACAAGUGGCAAUCUCUAAUAGGGUCAUGUCGAGAGGCAACCCGACUGCAUACUACCUACUGCACGUUAACGUGAUGAAGGUCUCUCCUGAGCACACGGCUUCAUAAACCAGCUGCACAAGCAACUGCAUCUGGGGAUCUGCUUCAAGAGAAACUUAACUAAAGCAAGAAUGGGCUCUAACUUCAGGAUACCUAGGAUUCUAACCUCGUUCCAUUACUUACCAACGAUAUGACCUGGGAAAAAUUAUAUACCUGCGGCACAUCACUGGGGCAAUUUACUGUAGGCAUGCGGCUUUAACAACAACAAAAUGUAAAA
rnacentral:lncRNA from 1 species